rnacentral:lncRNA from 1 species
AGGGAUGACACAAGAGUGGAUGCUGUCUGCAGCUACAAGGACAAUGCCAGCCUGGCCAGGUUUGACAGAGAAAAGCUUUACCAGGAGCUGAGCACCAUGACAAACAAUGUCACCAAACUGGGCCACUACAGCCUGGACAGGAGCAGCCUGUAUGUUGAUGAUUUCACCCUCACAGACACAGCUGCCACCAAAAAGCCUCUCAUGGCUCCUGCCAAACUUGGCUAUAGGCUGAGCUUUAGAAUAGUCAAUGAAAACCUCACCAACCCUGACUCCCAGUCUCCAGAAUACAGAGCAGCAGUAGAAAGCAUCACCAACAAGAUGAAUCACUUGUACCGUCAGAGCGACCUGAGGGAGCAGUUCCUGACCUGCAGGAUCACCGGGCUGAGGUCUGGCGUAAAAUCUGAUUUUUGUUUAAAGAUUGCUUCACCCUGGCACUGCUCC